GACGAACGCUGGCGGCGUGCCUAAUACAUGCAAGUCGAACGCUUCUUUCCUCCCGAGUGCUUGCACUCAAUUGGAAAGAGGAGUGGCGGACGGGUGAGUAACACGUGGGUAACCUACCCAUCAGAGGGGGAUAACACUUGGAAACAGGUGCUAAUACCGCAUAACAGUUUAUGCCGCAUGGCAUAAGAGUGAAAGGCGCUUUCGGGUGUCGCUGAUGGAUGGACCCGCGGUGCAUUAGCUAGUUGGUGAGGUAACGGCUCACCAAGGCCACGAUGCAUAGCCGACCUGAGAGGGUGAUCGGCCACACUGGGACUGAGACACGGCCCAGACUCCUACGGGAGGCAGCAGUAGGGAAUCUUCGGCAAUGGACGGAAGUCUGACCGAGCAACGCCGCGUGAGUGAAGAAGGUUUUCGGAUCGUAAAACUCUGUUGUUAGAGAAGAACAAGGACGUUAGUAACUGAACGUCCCCUGACGGUAUCUAACCAGAAAGCCACGGCUAACUACGUG
rnacentral:rRNA from 1 species